rnacentral:rRNA from 1 species
UACAGGGGUGCCGAGCGUUAGGCGGAAUCACUGGGCUUAAAGCGUGUGUAGGCGGACUUCUAAGUACCUUGUGAAAUCCCACGGCUCACCCGUGGAACUGCUGGGUAUACUGGUCGUCUUGAGCCACCUAGGGGCGAGCGGAACAAAUGGUGGAGCGGUGAAAUGCGUAGAUAUCAUUUGGAACGCCAAUGGUGAAAACAGGUCGCUGGGGCUGUGCUGACGCUGAGACACGAAAGCCAGGGGAGCGAACGGG